rnacentral:rRNA from 1 species
AUUGAACGCUGGCGGCAGGCCUAACACAUGCAAGUCGAACGAGUGGCGGACGGGUGAGUAAUGUCUGGGAACCUGCCCGAUGGAGGGGGAUAACUACUGGAAACGGUAGCUAAUACCGCAUACCAUCGGAUGUGCCCAGAUGGGAUGAGCUAGUAGGUGGGGUAAAGGCUCACCUAGGCGACGAUCCCUAGCGGGUCUGAGAGGAUGACCAGCCACACGGUAACUGAGACACGGGGCAGACGUGUAUGGUGGGCAGAAGUUGGGAAUAUGGAGCAAGUGGCGCGAGCCUGAUGGAUCCAGGCGGCGGGUAGGAAGAAGGCCUUCGGGUUUGAAAUUACGUUCAGCGGGGAGUCGUUUCCCGCAGAAGAAGCACCGGCUAACUCCGUGCCAGGAGCCGCGGUUAUUC